AGAUUUUCUGAGAAGAUCUCUGAGCAGUGUGAAGCCAUCAUCAUACCCUAUCAAGAACCUUCUGUUCACAGGAUCUCACAGCAGUCCUGCCAGAGGGAUACUCCCAUUAUCCUUAUUUAACAGAGGGGCCACCAGUGAGGGGGCGGCUGCCAGGCUGAGGAAUCUCCUCCCUGAAUGUUCUCACCAGGCCGGGAGAACCAGGCUCUUGCAGCCAUGGGGACGCGCUGCUAUUUUAAGCCACCUGCCAACAGACUGCCUGCCUCCCCCGCUGCUGCCUUGACAUGCAGCUCCUGACAGAGAGCCCUGUGUCGCCCCAGCAGACAAUGCUGGGCAACUGGAUGCAGAUGCACACCUAGGCAGGUGACAGCUGUGGGGACCCCAUGUGACCUUCCCACCCUAGUGUCCCACCCCUAGCACUUGGCUUCCUUGACCUGCCAGCCUUGGGGGCUGGGAGCUGAGAGAAACCCACCAUCCUGCCCAGCUCAGAAAGGACAAACAGACCUGGGUGUUAGCUGAUGGUCUCAUGUAUCCUCACAGUAUGACUACAGUAAGCUCUUUUCGGAGCCUCAGUUCCUUAUCUGUAAAAUGGGUAUGAUCACGAAAUAAUCAGACCAGUCAGGGAGCUCUUCAUGAGAUAUCUAGUACAGUGCCUGGCACAUAGAAAACACGUGAGGGAAGGGAAAGCACCUAUGCCAACCAUCCCCACUCUCCCCACCUCCUUCCUGUACACUCCCUGUGUCCUUCCUGUCUUAUUCAUCACCACCUGACAAUACCUUAGGUGUUUGCUGGACCUCAGUGGCAGAGGUUUUUGAUACCUAACCUCUCUGAACAUGUGGUACAUGCUGAU
rnacentral:lncRNA from 1 species